UAGGAACGAAAUGAACAAAAU
rnacentral:piRNA from 1 species